CCUCCGCGAGGGGUAGGGAAGGGGCGGAGCGGCCAGGCCACCGGCCGGCACCUCCAUUGGGCGAGCCACGCUGAGUGAUCCACCUAAGAGCCAAUCAAAGGCACAAACAUCAGACGAAGGGGCGGGAUCGCCACAGGGGCCCUCUUUGGAGGUCAGAGCUCGGCAGGGUGCGGCUAGUGGCGGAGCGCGCUGAGAGGGGAGGGCUUUCCACUGUCGCUGGCGUGAACUCGCGUGCCCGGUGGAUAUCAGGGAAGAACCCCUGCCCCGGACCCCCAGAUCUGCCAUGGCCGAGGUAGCGAUAGUCUCUGCGGCCACGGAGACUGUUUUAACUUGUACCACUUUCCCUUCCAUUUUUCCUGGGGUGCCUCUAACCCUGCAUCUGCGCGUUCAGAAAGCUGGAUUUCGGGAAUGCUCAGUUCAGAAGAGAAAAAAUUGCCGGGAAUCAAGUCCUUCUUUUUGUUAGUCGGUAGUCGAUUGAUGGGAAGUGUUCAAAAUCAUUCGAUGUGGUGACAAGUGAAUAACCUCCAGAAUAACCAUUCUUGGCUUCAUAGUUUGAGCCACACUGUCAGACCACUUGUGGUUAAGAGGAUAGUGUUUACUGAGUGCCUUGUGUAUCUCUUAUGUUUGUGGGUGUUAUGCAUCAUCCCAGUUCUACAAAGCUUUCCAAGGCUUCACCAGGUACUGCCUUCUAAGUUGAGUUGGCCAUUUCCACAUGUCAGAUAGGACCAACUUGCCUUUUAACUACCCGUGUGAUACUUAAACACUGUUGCCGGUAUCACAGCUUUUCUUCAAAACAGGAAGCAACGAGAAUGAGGGCAUUCCAGUAGCAGGAGACAGCAUGCAUAGAGAUGCUGAUGAAGAAAGAGCCUAGCGCACGUGGGAAACUGCAAAAGUUCAGACUGGUUGGAAUGCUGGAAAUGUUGUGAAUGACAGGAGAUGAGGCUGGCGAGAAAACAGAGGUCAGAUUGUGGAAGGCUGUCAAGCCAAAGACUUUGAUUUUAUUCUUGAGAUUGAUGAGAUGUGUGUAAUCCAGGAGUGUGCAAGACAAUCUGUAAGGGUUCAGAAAACAUACUGCUUCUAUAUAUAGUUACCUUUGUCUUAACCUUAAAAUUUCAAAUUGUGUAGGAGUUACAAUGUGUGUAAUUGUUAUUAUAGUACUGGAUCCAAAUAAUUUAUAAAUAAAUAAAUAUAGACAUAAUAUGGUAUAUUACAGGUUAAAUUGUGUACCUCAAAAAUUCAUGUUUAAGUUCUAACCCUCAUUAUCUCAAACUGUGACCUUAUUUGGAAAUACAAUCAUUGCAGAUGCAAUAGUUAAUGAGGUCAAGUUAAGAAGCAAUAGGAGGCCAGGCAUGGUGGCUCACACCUGUAAUCCCAGCACUCUGGGGAGGCCAAGGUGGGUGGAUCACCUGAGGUCAGGAGGUCAAGAGCAACCUGGGCAACAUGGUGAAACUCCGUCUCUACUAAAAAUACACAAAUUAGGCUGGGCUUGGUGUCUCACACCUGUAAUCCCAGCACUUUGGGAGGCCAAGGCGGGCGGAUCACCUGAGGUCAGGAGUUCGAGACCAGCCUGGCCAACAUAGUGAAACCCCGUCUCUACUAAAAAUACAAAAAUUAUUUUGUAUUUUGGUGGCGGACACCUGUAAGUAAUCCCAGCUACUCGGGAGGGUGAGGCAGGAGAAUCGCUUAAACCUGGGAGGUGGAGUUUGCAGUGAACCAAGAUCACACCACUGCACUCCAGCUUAGGAGACAGAGCUAGACUCUGUCUCAAACAAACAAGCAAACAAACAAAAGAAAGAAAAAAAGAAGGAGCGAAAAGGUGGGCCCCCAAUCCCUAAUCCAGUAUGACUAAUGUCCUUCUAAGAACAGAAAAUUUGAACAGAGACACACAAACAGGAAGAAUACCUAUGCCUUUUGAAGGUAAAGGCGGACAUUGGGGUAAUGCUUUUAUAAGCCAAGGAACUCCGAAGGUAGCCAGCAAACUGUCAGAAGCUAGGCGAGGGUCCUGGGACAGAUUCUCCUCACAGCCCUCAGAAGGAAUCAGUCCCGCUGACACCUUGAUCUUGGACUUGUAGCCUCAGGAACUGUGAGGCAAAUGUCUGUUGUUUAUCCAGUUUGUGAUACUUUGUUACAGCAGCCCUAGCAAAUUGAGCUACUUGGUCAAAAACUUCAGGCAACACUGAUGAGAUGAUAUAAAGACUUUAAAGAGUUGGUUUAUGUUUAAGAGUCCAAAUUAUCAAUGUCCUAUCUUUAUUCAGUCUCUGUAUUCAAGAAUUGACCUUAGGCCAGGUGCAGUAGUUCACGCCUAUAAUCCCAAUACUUUGGGAUGCCAAGGUAGGAGGAUUGCUUGAGGUCAGGAGUUUGAGAUCAGCCCUUGUAUAUUAGUUCGUUCUCAUGCUGCUGAUAAAGACAUACCCAAGACUGGGUAAUUUAUAAGGAAAAAGAGGUUUAAUGGACUCACGGUUCCAUGUGGCUGGAGAGGCCUCAAUCAUGGCGGAAGGUGAAAGCCAUGUCUUAGGUGGCGGCAGACAAAAGAGAAAUGAGAGCCAAGUGAGAAGGGAAACCCCUUAUAAAGUCAUCAGAUCUCGUGAGACUUAUUCACUACCAUGAGAACAGUAUGGGGAAAGCGUCCCCAUGAUUCAGUUCCCACCGGGUCACUCCCACCACACGUGGGAGUUCUGGGAGCUACAAUUCAAGAUGAGAUUUGAGUGGGGACAAAGCCAAACCAUAUCACCUUUUCUCCACUAAAAAUUAAAAUUAAAAAAUUAAGCUGGCAUGGUACUAUAUGUCUGUAGUCCUAGCUACUUGGGAUGCCGAGGUGGGAGGAUUGCUUGAGCCCAGGAGGUUGAAGCUGCAGUGAGUCAUGAUCAUGCCACUGCACUCUAGCCUGGACAACAGAGCAAGGCCCUGAUGCAAAAAACAAAAAAUAAUAAUUUAACUUAAAGUGAUGUCUUGAUUGCAGUAUUUAUUCUACUUUUUAAAGCCAUUAUGGUGGGAAAACAAUUUGUUUACAUUUGUAGUAUAGUUUAUGUUAAAGGUUGAAGAAAUUGGGAAAUAUUUUAUCUUUAACUCAAAACAGGAUGGUGAUAUGCAACAGUUUUAGGCAAAAAAUAUUUACAUUUAAGAAAAAAAGUAUCAUUUAAUCCCAUUAGGCAGAAGUGGAGUCAAAAGCAAAAAUAUGGCUGGUUAUGGACGUAUGUUUCCCUUCCUGUUCAUAUGUUGAAACUUAAUUCCCAAUGUGAUGGAUUUUGGAGAUGGGGUCUUUGGGAGGUAAUAGGUCAUGAGAGUGGAACCCUCGUGGAUGGGAUUAGUGCCAUAUAAGAAGAGUCCAUAGAGCUAGCUCACUCCCUUUCUGCCAUGUGAGGAUACAAGAAGUCGGCCUGGAAAAGAGCCCUCACCAGAACCCUACAAUGGCACUCUGAUCUUGGACAUUCGGCCUCCGGAGCUGUGAGAAAUAAAUUGUCUUUAAGCUAUCCAGUUUAUGGUACUUUGUUACACCAGCCCAAACUGACUGAAGAUGGGGUCCUACCAAGCGAAAUCAUAGCUGUGAACAGUGUAAUAGUAUCUCAUCAGCAUGGGGAGGGCUAUAGGCAAAACAUGCACUAGUCUAGCUACUUAAUCUUCAAGUAUUAAGGACAACCUGUCCUUUUUAUACAAGUCAUACAUUAGACAUGUGCCUGAGAUUACAAAACACUGUGAUCGCGUUUUCAAGGCUAGGGAUACAUCUCAAACUCAGAUGUACUUCUUUGGUGCCUAUUUGUAAGUCAGCAAAAUCCAGAACUCAGCAAUAUGUUAAUUAAUGUAUUAAUACAGAAAAUAUUUUUGUGCGUUAUAUUUUCUGCAUUUUAGAUAUUUGUGUGUCAUGGAAUAUUUGAUAAUUUUUGGCUUUAUUUAGGUUAAGUCAACCAAAGCAUUUUGAAAUGCUGCUUUUUUUUUUUAACACAUGUAUUUGUGGGUUUUUGUUUUGUUAUUGUUGUUGUUUGAGACAGGGUCUUACUCUGUCAUGCAGGCUGAAGUGCAGUGUCACAAUCACGGCUCACCGCAGCCUCAACCUCCCGGGCUCGGGUGAUCCUCCCACGUCAGCCUCCUUAGCAGCUGGGAUUACAGGUGCCCACUACCACGCCCGUCUCCUUUUUGUAUUUUUAGUAGAGACGGAGUCUCACCAUGUUGCCCAGGCUGGUCUCAAACUCCUGGGCUCAAGUGAUCUGCCCUCCUCAACUUCCCAAAGUGCUAGGAUUACAGGUGUGAGCCACCACACCUGGCCUAAAUCCACAUGUGUUUGUAAUAGUUUUGCCAUUGUUUAGACAGGUAGUUUUAAGAUUUUUUAAAGUAAUAGAAGCCUUUCUUCAAAUUAAAUCUUAUGUGGAAGUCCAGUAUGCAGCAAUUAUGUUAGGUAGUCAUAGAGGACUGGCCAUUCGUAAAAAAAAUACCCUUGUUUUAAAUCUUUGUUUCUUGAAUUUAGUCUUGAAGUUCCAUGUUUUAUGACUAUGUAUUCCAUGUUUAUUUUAUAGUGUGUUAGCAAAAUGAAAGGAAUGUACAUGGAUGGGGAUGAUAAAGAUGCUACUGACCUAUUAUUAUAGGGCCUGUGCUUGGAGUUGCUUUUCAGUAAUGGGAUUGGAUUUGUAAGAAUCCAUCUAUCAGGCCGGGUGCAGUGGCUGACGCCAGUAAUCCCAGCACUUUGGGAGGCCGAGGCUCAAGUAGCUCAAUUUGCUUUAAAAAAAAAAAAAAAAAAAGAAUCCAUCUAUCGUCUGGCCGGGCACGAUGGCUCACGCCUGUAAUCCCAGCACUUUGGGAGACUGAGGCGGGCGGAUCACGAGGUCAAGAGAUCAAGACCAUCCUGGCCAACAUGGUCAAACCCCGUGUCUACUAAAAAUACAAAAAUUAGAUGGGCGUGGUGGUGGGUGCCUGUAAUCCAUCCCAGCUACUCAGGAGGCUGAGGCAGGAGAAUCACUUGCACCCGGGAGGCGGAGGUUGCAGUGAGCCAAGAUCAUGCCACUGCACUCCAGCCUGGGCAACAGAGUGAGACUCCCUCCCAAAAAAAAAGAAUCCAUCUAUCCUCUUUAAUUUAGUCCCCUUUGUGGCCACACAGCAGUCUGUGUCCUACACCCUCUUGGUCAAGAAUAUAAUGUCUACUACUCACAAAAAUAUAUUUCUCAGUAAGUGACUCCCCUUCCUCUCAUCAUUGUUCUUUUAGCAAUUUUUGUGCACUAUUCAUUUAACUAUAACUUUGCCACCUUUGGACUCUAAUAGACUCAAAAACCUGUUUGUCCAGUUUAGUGUGUGUGUGUUUGUUUUAUUCCCUCACCCAUGACUUCCAGUCAUAUUACUGUAAGCUGAUAUUUGGAACUACAUAUAUCUUUCGUAUGUUUAUUUUUUUAAUUUUUUUUUGCAAGU